UGAGGAAUAUUGGUCAAUGGGCGGGAGCCUGAACCAGCCAAGCCGCGUGAGGGAAGAAGGCCCUAUGGGUCGUAAACCUCUUUUGUCAGGGAACAAAAGCGAGUAUGUAUACUGGUCUGAGUGUACCUGAAGAAAAAGCAUCGGCUAACUCCGUGCCAGCAGCCGCGGUAAUACGGAGGAUGCGAGCGUUAUCCGGAUUUAUUGGGUUUAAAGGGUGCGUAGGCGGCGGUGCAAGUCAGCGGUAAAAUGCCCGGGGGCCUCAACCCCGGCGAGCCGUUGAAACUGCAGUGCUAGAGAAGCGAGAGGUACGCGGAAUGCGCAGUGUAGCGGUGAAAUGCUUAGAUAUUGCGCAGAACUCCGAUUGCGAAGGCAGCGUACUGGCGCCUGACUGACGCUGAGGCACGAAAGCGUGGGGAUCGAACAGGAUUAGAUACC
rnacentral:rRNA from 1 species